UACGAAUGGGGCAAGCGUUGUUCGGAAUCACUGGGCUUAAAGCGUGCGCAGGCGGUCUUGCAAGUCAGAAGUGAAAUCCCGGGGCUUAACCCCGGAAUUGCUUUUGAAACUGCAAGACUAGAAUAUGGGAGAGGUUAGCAGAAUUCCGAGUGUAGAGGUGAAAUUCGCAGAUAUUCGGAGGAAUACCAGUGGCGAAGGCGGCUAACUGGACCAUUAUUGACGCUCAGGCACGAAAGCGUGGGGAGCAAACAGG
rnacentral:rRNA from 1 species